GCAUCUUUUUAUUUUUAAAAGACCUAGCAAUAGGUAUGCUUAGGGAAGAGCUUGCGUCACAUUAGUUAGUUGGUGGGGUAAUGGCCUACCAAGACGAUGAUGUGUAGCCGGGCUGAGAGGUCGAACGGCCACAUUGGGACUGAGACACGGCCCAAACUCCUACGGGAGGCAGCAGUAAGGAAUUUUCGGCAAUGGAGGAAACUCUGACCGAGCAAUGCCGCGUGAACGAUGAAGUAUUUCGGUACGUAAAGUUCUUUUAUUAGGGAAGAAAAGAUGGUGGAAAAACCAUUAUGACGGUACCUAAUGAAUAAGCCCCGGCUAACUAUGUGCCAGCAGCCGCGGUAAUACAUAGGGGGCAAGCGUUAUCCGGAAUUAUUGGGCGUAAAGGGUGCGUAGGCGGUUAAAUAAGUUUAUGGUCUAAGUGCAACGCUCAACGUUGUGAUGCUAUAAAAACUGUUUAGCUAGAGUUGGAUAGAGGCAAGUGGAAUUCCGUGUGUAGUGGUAAAAUGCGUAAAUAUACGGAGGAACACCAGAAGCGAAGGCGGCUUGCUGGGUCUUAACUGACGCUGAGGCACGAAAGCGUGGGGAGCAAACAGGAUUAGAUACCCUGGUAGUCCACGCCCUAAACGAUGAGUACUAAACGUUGGAUAAAACCAGUGUUGAAGUUAACACAUUAAGUACUCCGCCUGAGUAGUACGUACGCAAGUAUGAAACUUAAAGGAAUUGACGGGACUCCGCACAAGCGGUGGAUCAUGUUGUUUAAUUCGAAGGUACCCGAAAAACCUCACCAGGUCUUGACAUGCUUUUGCAAAGCUGUAGAAAUACAGUGGAGGUUAUCAGAAGCACAGGUGGUGCAUGGUUGUCGUCAGCUCGUGUCGUGAGAUGUUGGGUUAAGUCCCGCAACGAGCGCAACCCUUGUUGUUAAUUGCCAUCAUUAAGUUGGGGACUUUAGCAAGACUGCCAAUGAUAAAUUGGAGGAAGGUGGGG
rnacentral:rRNA from 1 species